UACGAAGGGGGCUAGCGUUGUUCGGAAUUACUGGGCGUAAAGGGCGCGUAGGCUGUGCUGUAAGUCAGGCGUGAAAGCCCCGGGCUCAACCUGGGAAUUGCGCUUGAUACUGCGGCGCUGGAAGGUGGGAGAGGAUGGCGGAAUUCCCAGUGUAGAGGUGAAAUUCGUAGAUAUUGGGAAGAACACCGGUGGCGAAGGCGGCCAUCUGGACCGCAACUGACGCUGAGGCGCGAAAGCGUGGGGAGCAAACAGG
rnacentral:rRNA from 1 species